rnacentral:pre_miRNA from 1 species
CAACUACUCCCUCUAUCCCAAAUUUCUUGUCUUAGAUUUGUCUAGAUACGGAUGUAUCUAAUACUAAAAUGUGACUUGAUACAUCUGUAUCUAGACAAAUCUAAGACAAGAAUUUUGGGACGGAGGGAGUACUUU